rnacentral:tRNA from 1 species
UUUGAUAACUCAAUACAGGGGGUUUGUGUUUCGGCCACAAACAGGAAACAAGGGUUUCUGUCAAAG